AGAUUAAGCCAUGCAUGUCUAAGUAUAAGCAACUUUAUACUGUGAAACUGCGAAUGGCUCAUUAAAUCAGUUAUAGUUUAUUUGAUGGUACUUUGCUACAUGGAUAACUGUGGUAAAUCUAGAGCUAAUACAUGCUUACAAGCCCCGACUUCUUGGAAGGGGUGUAUUUAUUAGAUAAAAACCAACCCUUCGGGUCCCUUGGUGAAUCAUAAUAACUUUUCUAAUCGCAU
rnacentral:rRNA from 1 species